UACGUAGGUGGCAAGCGUUGUCCGGAAUUAUUGGGCGUAAAGCGCGCGCAGGCGGUCCUUUAAGUCUGAUGUGAAAGCCCACGGCUCAACCGUGGAGGGUCAUUGGAAACUGGGGGACUUGAGUGCAGGAGAGAAAAGUGGAAUUCCACGUGUAGCGGUGAAAUGCGUAGAGAUGUGGAGGAACACCAGUGGCGAAGGCGACUUUUUGGCCUGUAACUGACACUGAGGCGCGAAAGCGUGGGGAGCAAACAGG
rnacentral:rRNA from 1 species